UUCUAUGAGUAUCAUAUGGUUGGUUGCC
rnacentral:piRNA from 1 species